rnacentral:ncRNA from 1 species
UUGAGCUGUACGAGAUGAAAGUCUCAUAUACAGUUCUCGGUGGAUGGAUCACACCUAUCUCAAUAAAAUAUAUGAUUGGUUUGAAGUAGGGGUGUUCAAAACCGGAUAUCCAAAAAUUUGGAUAUCCGAAUUUCGGAUAUCCGAAAUUUUCGGAUACUAGAUUUCACUAUCCGAAUCCGU